UCUCUGUGUAUCUCUCUGUCUCUCUCCCUCUACUAUUUUUCUUAUUGCUGAAAACAAAGUCCUUCCUAUAGAAAGCACCUAAUACAUGUUUGCUUUCUUGAAAUUGAAUGCUUUGGAUGAGCAGCUCUCCUUUUCAAUGAGUGUCUUCCCCUUCUCCCCCCACUCUCCUGUGAUCCUGUGAUCCUGUGAUCUGGUUUCUAUGCUUUUUAUUCCUUCAGCUCCAGUUAAUUAUAGCCUGUCACAAACCAGAGACCACUUUAUCAUUGAGCACAAACAGGAUGGAGAGAGCCACAAUGAAUAGACAGAAGAAUAAGCCAUGGCACCAGAGACCACAAGGUUAAGGUUUUUUCAGAGACUGUCCCUAAUACUGCCUUGUAUAACCACUGUACUUUUUCUUGAGCCUCACUUUUCCCUUCACAAUACUUUUUGACUCUAUAUCACCUUUUAUUUUAAACAACAGAAUUGUUUACAAUCCAGAAUCCAUUUGAAGAUAUCUUCCACAUUUUUUAUGCCCAGAUAAUUUUUAGAGCACCACCUACUUGAUGAUAAUAACCAAGACUUAUCAUCUGACCCACCCCUACCCAGUGACUACUGCCUUGACUUCUUGUGUAUUAUUUGAACUUUCACUUUUAGAUUGAACAUAGAAUAUAGCCACAGUCUAGGAGAUCUCCUCUAGAUGCCAAGGUGUAGGCACUGUUACAAAUACCAUGUGUGACCUUCCGUAAGUCUCCUCUGUCUUUUGGCUUUUUUUUUUUCUUUCUGCAGUAAAAUAUGUGGACUGGGUGAAUGUGGAGUGGGAUGGCAUGCCAGGUCUGAGUGUUUAGGGAGGGGAUGUUGGACAUGAUAAACUCCAAGGUCCCAUUCAUCUUUGUGACUCUCAAUACUAUGAUUUCUCACUCUCUUACCUGCCUUUUCCCCAAUAUUUUAUUGAAGGAAAUGGACCAGAAAGCCUGAUGACCUGAGAGAGGGCUCCCUGGAAGGUCCAUGGAGUCUGCUAGGGGAGGAGAAUGUGUGUGUGAAUUUGGGCAGAGGCGGGGAAUAUCUGUGAGUGGAGAACUGAUAAGGUGGUGGAUAGAAAGUUGGAAUCCAGGGAACAUGAGUUUAUAUCCUGCUGGUGACUCUGUGAGUAUGGGAAAAGCCCUUAAAGUCUUUGAUGGUCUGUUACCUCAGUUUUACAAUUGCAAUAAUAAGAUUUAUACCAGAUCAAGCCUUUGAACUGGUUUUGGAGUGACGGAACCUACAAAUAAUUGGAGUAUAACAAAUUUCCAGCAGAAGAUAUUUUGGAAAAACUUCAUAAAGGUGAGGAGGAGACAAAACCAAUGGAUCCCCAGUUGGGAAAUACGAUGAGGAACAUCAUUGGUUUGUGGACAACAUCAUAUAUACUGUGUACAUUCAUCUUUUUCACCUAUAUAAAAAAUCUUCAGAAAAACACUUUUUUGUGGCAUGUGAAUGGGAUCCUGUCAGUGACUUAUUCAAUGGAAGUGGGUGUUUGUAUUUGUUAUUUGUGGACAAAGCACAGUUGUCCAGAAAUUAUUCCUAAGGAGGAUUGGAUGAACUGGUGUUCUUGGAUCCUUAUUUUGAUCUUCAUCCCACUCUUAAUAAUAUUUAUUUUAAAAUUUAUAAUUCGAUAUUUUUCUUCUUUUUUUAUGAUACUCCUCUUUUCAAUGAAUUUCACCAAUAUUGAAAGUAUCAUCUUUUUGAUGCCUAUAUUGAGAGUAUUUUUUUGGUUUUUCUUCCCUUCAUUCUUUUAAAAUAGAGCACUGCUCCUGGGGUAAAGUGGUCACUGUCCCCAGCUUCCUGUCCAGCUCUGAGCCUUGGCUUUGAAUACAGGCACCCCUUGUGUUUGCAGGAGGAAGCUUUGCCUACUCUGUUCAGGAAACAUCCUGGUUUCCCAGAGGUUUGUCUUCUAAUCUGGGACUGGAAACUCCCUUCCUGCUGUGCUCCUCUACUGAGCCAGGACUGAGAGUCUUAGUUGCUCAUGUUCUGUGAUGAAGACUCUCUUCCUGGCUUUCCCGCCGUCUAUCUGAGCUGACUUGAACACCCUCUUCACCCCAGUGAGACUGAAAUUUCUUGAAGUUUUUUCAGUCUGUCUUGAGCUGGAGAGUGGUUUCAUUCCAUCAGACUCUAUUCAGAAGCUUGGUUUCAUGUGAUUUUCCAGGGAGAACUCGAGCUGCUUCCUGACUUUACAAUCUUGGCUCCAUCCCAGAAGUCUUUCCUUCCCAUUCUUUUUAAAGCAUUGAGUUCCAAAUUCUAUGCCUCUCUUUCUUCUUCCCUUCCCCCAAGAUUGUAAGUUCUUAUAUAUAAUUUAUAUAUGCACAAUUAUGUAAGACAUUUACACAUUACUCCUUUUGUAUAAGAAGACUCAAAUAAAAUAAAAAUGCAAUAAAGUAAUAAGAUG